rnacentral:tRNA from 1 species
AGAAUUUUAGGUUAAUAAAAACUAUGAGCCUUCAAAGCCCACGAUAAGUUGUAAACUUAAAUUCUA